UGGGUUGUGGCUUAGUGAUAAAGUGCUUGCCUAGCAUGCAUGAGGCAUUGGGUUUAAACCCCAGCACCACAU
rfam:Ictidomys tridecemlineatus contig005312, whole genome shotgun sequence.